AGCUUUGAUGAAGCUGAUUAGCAUCGGUCUUGUAAACCGAAGACUAGAGUAUACCCUCUCCAGAGCUAC
rnacentral:tRNA from 1 species